UACGUAGGGGGCAAGCGUUGUCCGGAUUUAUUGGGCGUAAAGAGCGUGUAGGCGGCCAGGUAGGUCUGCUGUGAAAACUCGAGGCUUAACCUCGAGCUGUCGGCGGAAACCAUCUGGCUAGAGUCCGGAAGAGGAGAAUGGAAUUCCCGGUGUAGCGGUGAAAUGCGCAGAUAUCGGGAAGAACACCCGUGGCGAAGGCGGCCAGCUAGACCAGUUCUGACACUGAGGCGCGAUAGCGUGGGGAGCAAACAGG
rnacentral:rRNA from 1 species